rnacentral:rRNA from 1 species
UACGAAGGGGGGCUAGCGUUGCUCGGAAUCACUGGGCGUAAAGGGUGCGUAGGCGGGUCUUUUAAGUCAGGGGUGAAAUCCUGGAGCUCAACUCCAGAACUGCCUUUGAUACUGAGGAUCUUGAGUAUGGGAGAGGUGAGUGGAACUGCGAGUGUAGAGGUGAAAUUCGUAGAUAUUCGCAAGAACACCAGUGGCGAAGGCGGCUCACUGGCCCAUUACUGACGCUGAGGCACGAAAGCGUGGGGAGCAAACAGG